rnacentral:rRNA from 1 species
CCUACGGGAGGCAGCAGUCGAGAAUCAUUCACAAUGGGGGAAACCCUGAUGGUGCGACGCCGCGUGGGGGAAUGAAGGUCUUCGGAUUUUAAACCCCUGUCAUGUGGGAGCAAAUUAAAAAGAUAGUACCACAAGAGGAAGAGACGGCUAACUCUGUGCCAGCAGCCGCGGUAAUACAGAGGUCUCAAGCGUUGUUCGGAAUCACUGGGCGUAAAGCGUGCGUAGGCGGUUUCGUAAGUCGUGUGUGAAAGGCGCGGGCUCAACCCGCGGACGGCACAUGAUACUGCGAGACUAGAGUAAUGGAGGGGGGACCGGAAUUCUCGGUGUAGCAGUGAAAUGCGUAGAUAUCGAGAGGAACACUCGUGGCGAAGGCGGGUUCCUGGACAUUAACUGACGCUGAGGCACGAAGGCCAGGGGAGCGAAAGGGAUUAGAUACCCUUGUAGUC